GACGAACGCUGGCGGCGUGCCUAAUACAUGCAAGUCGAACGCAGUGGGGACGGGUGAGUAACACGUGGGUAACCUCCCCAUCAGAGGGGAUAACACUUGGAACCAGGUGCUAAAACGAUACGGAUGGAUGGCCCCGCGGGUCAUUAGCUCGUUGGUGCGGUACAGGCUCACCAAGGCCACGAUGCAUAGCCGACCUGGGAGGGUGAUCGGCCACACUGUGACGGAGACACGGCCCAGACUCCUACGGGAGGCAGCAGUAGGGAAUCUUCGGCAAUGGACGAAAGUCUGACCGAGCAACGCCGCGUGAGUGAAGAAGGUUUUCGGAUCGUAAAACUCUGUUGUUAGAGAAGCGGUAUCUAACCAGAAAGCCACGGCUAACUACGUGCCAGCCGCCGCGGUAAUUC
rnacentral:rRNA from 1 species